rnacentral:rRNA from 1 species
CCUANGGGGAGCAGCAGUAAGGAAUAUUGGUCAAUGGGCGCAAGCCUGAACCAGCCAUGCCGCGUGAAGGAUGACGGCCCUAUGGGUUGUAAACUUCUUUUGUACGGGAAAAAACCCCCGGUCGUGUACCGGGGCUGAUGGUACCGUAAGAAUAAGCAUCGGCUAACUCCGUGCCAGCAGCCGCGGUAAUACGGAGGAUGCAAGCGUUAUCCGGAUUCAUUGGGUUUAAAGGGUGCGCAGGCGGAAUGAUAAGUCAGUGGUGAAAUCCUACGGCUCAACUGUAGAACUGCCAUUGAUACUGUCGUUCUUGAGUACACUUGAAGUGGGCGGAAUGUGUCAUGUAGCGGUGAAAUGCUUAGAUAUGACACAGAACACCGAUCGCGAAGGCAGCUCACUAAAUUGUAACUGACGCUCAUGCACGAAAGCGUGGGGAUCAAACAGGAUUAGAUACCCCANUANUC